GGUUGUUCUCAGGGCGGGGUGAAAGUCCCCACCGGCGGUAAGAGCUUCGGCUCAAGCCCGCGAGCGUCUUUCGGCCGAUCUGCCGAAAGGGUCAGCAGAUCCGGUGCAACUCCGGAGCCGACGGUCACAGUCCGGAUGAAAGAGAAUGAGC
rnacentral:ncRNA from 1 species